rnacentral:tRNA from 1 species
ACGGCGGACUGUUAAUCCGUAUGUCGCAAGUUCAAGUCUUGCAAGGGGAGCCA